UAAUGUUUUGCUUUUGUUUUUAGAGGUUCAUUUUCAGUGACCAAUAUCUUUCACCUUUUCAGGAGACUGUCACACCAAGUGCUGAGCAUUUAAAUGACUUGGGAGAGAAAAACACAUACUUGGAGCUUCAGGGCUGCUCAUAUGGAUUAUUCUGAAGACUACAGGCUGCUGUGAUUGUCUACCAGAAACAAAAGUGCAUCUCUGAAGUGUGAAAGGCUUGGUUAACAUCUGCAGAGCCCACUAAGCUAUGUAUGCUGACUGCAGUGCUGAGGUCUGGUUCUGUCUAUGUGACUAAGGGGUAUCAAGCAGGCUGGGGAAUUGUCCCAUCAACCCUGAUGGAACAGCAGAAGACAGAGAGAUUAUACUUAACAACUUCCAUCAAGAUAACAACGUCAUUGCAAAUUAAUUCCACUCGGUAUGUCCAAGAACAAAGGCAAACUGAACUACAAUUGUGUGCCAUAUCAAUAUGGAGCAUCGAGCGGUGCUGCUGAAAUGGCCUGCCAAAAUGCCUGACCAAUGAAAAGUAAUCUAAACUUGAACCCUAUCAAAAUAAAAGUGGAAUUGAGGAGAAGCCA
rnacentral:lncRNA from 1 species